rnacentral:rRNA from 1 species
GUGGGGAAUUUUGCGCAAUGGGGGAAACCCUGACGCAGCAACGCCGCGUGAGUGAUGAAGGCCUUCGGGUCGUAAAGCUCUGUCAGAGGGGAAGAAAUGCAGGGGUGCUAAUAUCAUCUUUGCUUGACGGUACCCUCAAAGGAAGCACCGGCUAACUCCGUGCCAGCAGCCGCGGUAAUACGGAGGGUGCGAGCGUUGUUCGGAAUUAUUGGGCGUAAAGCGCGUGUAGGCGGUUUGGUAAGUCUGAUGUGAAAGCCCCGGGCUCAACCUGGGAAAUGCAUUGGAAACUGUCAGACUUGAAUACGGGAGAGGGUAGUGGAAUUCCUAGUGUAGGAGUGAAAUCCGUAGAUAUUAGGAGGAACACCGGUGGCGAAGGCGGCUACCUGGACCGAUAUUGACGCUGAGACGCGAAAGCGUGGGGAGCAAACAGGAUUAGAUACCCUAGUAGUCC